CUAAACCUAGGACUCCUCCCCUUCCUAAACCUAGGACUCUUCCCCUUCCUAAAUCUAGGACUCCUCCCCUUCCUAAACCUAUGAUCCCUCCCCUUCCUAAACCUAGGACUCCUCCCCUUCCUAAACCUAGGACUCCUCCCCUUCCUAAACCUAGGACUCCUCCCCUUCCUAAACCUAGGACUCCUCCCCUUCCUAAACCUAGGACUCCUCCCCUUCCUAAACCUAGGACUCCUCUCCUUCCUAAACCUAGGACUCCUCUCCUUCCUAAACCUAGGACUCCUCCCCUUCCUAAACCUAGGACUCCUCCCCUUCCUAAACCUAGGACUCCUCCCCUUCCUAAACCUAGGAUCCCUCCCCUUCCUAAGAUUCUGACUACUUGACAGCUUCCUGAUUUGCACUAGGAGGUGAUAUGAGAACUAAGUGGACAAUAUAAGGAAAACACCAGGAUUAAUAGCCUAUGCUAGUUAGUUAAUUAUCCAUUCAAGUGGAUUCAAAUAUUGUUCUUCUGCCUUUUCUAGGCUAGACCUUUCCAUGACAACGCUCCAGCUGUCAUGACAACGCUCCAGCUGUCACGACAACGCCCAACUAGAGGGUUGUUUUAACUUAGUAAAUCCUGUGUGAAAUGAAUUAAAUGACUAGCCUCCUGAACCUGUUGCUAUAAUAUGUGACUUUGACAUUCUCUCUCCGUAGUUAGAAGUAGAGCAGGGCUGAGCCACUAAACUAAAUAAAGUCAUUAGAUGUUUUUUCAAACUGACCUGAAGACAGAUCCACGCACUACACGUUGUGGAGAUGACGGCAGGCAGCGGCGUCUUUGCCAACUCGGCAAAUUGGCAAGUCAGAGCAGGACUCCGGUGACGCUGUGUGUGUGUGUGUGUGUGUGUGUGUGUGUGUGUCUGCAUGGAGUGAGUGUGUGUGUGUGUAUUUGAGUGUUUGUGUGUGAAUGCGGACACACAAGUGUGUGUAUAUGUGUGUGAACGUGUACACGCUUGUGUGUGUGUGAACGCGUACACGUUUGAGCGUGUGUAUUUUGAAGUGGGGGUAAACUUAUUACCUUGUAAUGUGAUAUAGUUUGUUUUGUUAAAUCCAUUAUGUGUAUAAAGGAAAUCUAAUCUUGCCUCAUUAAAUAAUGAUUGAGUUUA
rnacentral:lncRNA from 1 species